UGUAAAGUUCAAGCUCCGAUUUGUGAGGGCGAAACCGCGAAUGGCUCAUUAAAUCAGUCAUAAUCUACUUGAUUGUUUGAAGGUUAUAUGGAUAACUGUGGUAAUUCUAGAGCUAAUACAUGCACAAAUGGGGCGACUGUGGCAACACAGAAGCUCUGCGUUUAUUAGACUAAGACCAGCGACGCCUUCGGGCGUCUCUCUCUAUGGUGACUCUGAGUAAAUAAUGGGUGAAAGCCCAUGAUGCUGACCUGGCAUUUAAACGGCUUCACGGCCGGCCAGGCAAAUCAAUCGAGUGUCUGCUCUAUCAACUGUGGAUGGUAGGAUAAUUGCCUACCAUGGUGAUGACGGGUAACGGGGAGUUAGGGCUCGACUCCGGAGAACAAGCCUGAGAAACGGCUAGUAGGACUAAGGUCUGCAGCAGGCGCGAAACUUACACAAUGCUAGAUUAUAUAUUAGCGAUGUAGUGAAGAAAAAUAACGAUGUACUUGUAUUUAAACAUACUAGUACAAUUGGAAUGAGACGACUCUAAACCAGUUAGUCGAGUAACAAAUGGAGGGCAAGUCUGGUGCCAGCAGCCGCGGUAAUUCCAGCUCCAUUAGCAUACAUUAAAGUUGUUGCGGUUAAAAAGCUCGUAGUUGAAUUUAGCGCGAGGGUUGGAGUUUUGGGUCCAUUCAAGGCUGUCUAGGAUACCUCCGGGUUCCUUCAGCUGGUCCCUAUAACUACCGGCACUUCGCUGUUUCGUCACUUAAUCGAGUGCGAAGCGGGGCUAAGUAGACUCCUUCAUUGUGAGUUUCUACUCAGCCAUGUUUACCUUGAGAAAAUUAGAGUGCUCACAGCAGGCAGUUGGGGUGUAAAAGCUCCUUUAUGCUUGAAUAAUGUUGCAUGGAAUAAUAGAAUACGGCCUCGGUUCUAUUCUGUUGGUCUUAUAGAACAACAAAUAAGUUGGUUAAGGCAUCAAACGGUUAUUGGAAGCAUACGGCAGGUGGCUGGUUGCUACGCGAGCGUGUUGUCUCGGGAUAAAACCCAAGUACCGCCUCGCUAGUUCCCAUCAAAGCCUCCUCGCUAGCCCCUCUCAACCAGCCAACAACCAACUGAGGCAAUGGUUAAAAGAAAUAGUCGCGGCGGCAUCAGUACUGCAUCGUGAGAGGUGAAAUUCUUAGACCGAUGCAAGACUAACUGAAGCGAAAGCGUUUGCCGAGGAUAUUUUCAUUAAUCAAGAACGAAAGUUAGAGGUUCGAAGGCGAUCAGAUACCGCCCUAGUUCUAACCAUAAACGUUGCCAACUAGCAAUUGGGUUGCGAUUCCUUUAAUCGAGACCCUAAACAAGUCUCGAUCAUUAUGAUCCACCCAGCGGCUCUCGUAGGGAAACCAAAGUGUUUGGGUUCCGGGGGAAGUAUGAUUGCAAAGUUGAAACUUAAAGGAAUUGACGGAAGGGCACCACCAGGAGUGGAGCCUGCGGCUUAAUUUGACUCAACACGGGGAAACUUACUAGAUUAGAACUCUGGAAUGAUUGACAGAUUGAUAGCUCUUUCUUGAUUCAGAGGAUGGUGGUGCAUGGCCGUUCUUGAUUCGUAUUCCGAAACGUCUGCUUAAUUGCGAUAACGAGUGAGACCUCAUCCAACUAACUAGUCGUUAGGUGCGCUGUGGGACGCAAAAGUUGUUGGCUUGACCUGUCUGAGGGGAGCAAUCUCCGACUGGCAACUAGUCAGCAAUGUCCUCUGCUCGCCUGCGGACUUCUUAGAGGGAUAAACGGUGUUUUAGCCGUAAGAAACGAGGCAAUAACAGGUCUGUGAUGCCCUUAGAUACUCUAGGCCGCACGCGUGCUACAAUGGCGUGUGCAGAGAGCUUGUUCGAGGUUCGUCCGGAGAGAACUAGUGACUUGGUGGUGGUUAGGUAGCAAUAUUUGGCCAUUAUCGGUUGCCAAGUGACUCCGGUUAGCGAGCCGAGAGAAACCGCAGCCGAAAGGUUGCGGCAAUCAAAAAUACACGCCGUGAUUUGGGAUUGGGGAUUGCAAUUGUUGCCCAUGAACGAGGAAUUCCCAGUAAGCGCAAUUCAUCAUAUUGCGUUGAUUACGUCCCUGCCCUUUGUACACACCGCCCGUCGCUACUACCGAUUGGAAGUUUUAGUGAGGCAUUUGGACCUGCCAUCCAUUGAGAGGGGCAACUCUCUCAGGGACAGCGGGGAAGUCUGUCGAACUCAAAUUUCUAGAGGAAGUAAAAGUCGUAACAAGGUUUCCGU
rnacentral:rRNA from 1 species